CUGCGAAUGGCUCAUUAAAACAGUUAUAGAUUAUUUGAUAAUCGAAUUUUACAUGGAUAACCGUGGUAAUUCUAGAGCUAAUACAUGCUGUUAAGCCUGACUUUUUGGGAGGGCUGUAUUUAUUAGAUACAAACCAAUAUUCCUUCGGGUCUAUUGUGAUGAUUCAAUAUAACUGAUCGAAUCGCAUGGUCUUGCACCGCGAUAAAUCAUUCAAGUUUCUGCCCCAUCAGCUUUCGAUGGUAGUGUAUUGGACUACCAUGGCUUUCACGGGUAACGGAGGAUUAGGGUUCGAUUCCGGAGAGGGAGCCUGAGAAACGGCUACCACAUCUAAGGAAGGCAGCAGGCGCGUAAAUUACCCAAUCCUGACUCAGGGAGGUAGUGACAAGAAAUAACAGACCGGAGCCUAUGGUUCCGGGAUUGCAAUGAGUACAAUUUAGACUCCUUAACAAGUAACAAUUGGAGGGCAAGUCUGGUGCCAGCAGCCGCGGUAAUUCCAGCUCCAAUAGCGUAUAUUAAAGUUGUUGCAGUUAAAAAGCUCGUAGUUGGAUUUCUGUGAGAGUGCCGGUGUCGGCUGAUGCUUGUACGCAGGCGCUCUUACAUCCUUCUGUUAACUGUUCUUGGCAUUUUAUUGCUGGUUCAGGGCUCAGAUAUUUUACCUUGAGAAAAUUAGAGUGUUUCAGGCAGGCUUAUGCCGGAAUACAUUAGCAUGGAAUAAUGGAACAGGACCUGUGCGUCUCUCGGGGCGCCGGUCUCCGUUGUUGGUUUCGGGGACUAAUGUAAUGAUUAAUAGGGAU
rnacentral:rRNA from 1 species